rnacentral:rRNA from 1 species
UUUCCUACGGGUGGCAGCAGUCGAGAAUCUUCGGCAAUGGGCGAAAGCCUGACCGAGCGAUGCCGCGUGCGGGAUGAAGGCCCUCGGGUUGUAAACCGCUGUCGUAGGGGAGGAAGGUUCCGUGAAGAGCGGAAUUUGACCUAUCCUAGGAGGAAGUACGGGCUAAGUUCGUGCCAGCAGCCGCGGUAACACGAACCGUACGAACGUUAUUCGGAAUUACUGGGCUUAAAGGGUUUGUAGGCGGCCUUGUAAGUCAGGUGUGAAAGACCUCGGCUCAACCGAGGAACAGCGCUUGAUACUGCAAGGCUUGAGGGAGACAGGGGUAAGCGGAACUGAUGGUGGAGCGGUGAAAUGCGUUGAUAUCAUCAGGAACACCGGUGGCGAAAGCGGCUUACUGGGUCUCUUCUGACGCUGAGGAACGAAAGCUAGGGUAGCGAACGGGAUUAGAUACCCUAGUAGUC